rnacentral:rRNA from 1 species
ACGGGAGGCAGCAGUGGGGAAUAUUGGGCAAUGGGCGAAAGCCUGACCCAGCGACGCCGCGUGAAGGAAGAAGGUCUUCGGAUUGUAAACUUUUGUCAUCGGGGAAGAAGAAAGUGACGGUACCCGAUAAGAAAGCCACGGCUAACUACGUGCCAGCAGCCGCGGUAAUACGUAGGUGGCGAGCGUUAUCCGGAUUUACUGGGUGUAAAGGGUGUGUAGGCGGACCGACAAGUCAGGUGUGAAAUCCAUUGGCUUAAACAAUGAACUGCAAGUGAAACUGUAGGCCUUGAGAGUCGGAGAGGUAAGCGGAAUUCCUAGUGUAGCGGUGAAAUGCGUAGAUAUUAGGAGGAACACCAGUGGCGAAGGCGGCUUACUGGACGACAACUGACGCUGAGACACGAAAGCGUGGGGAGCAAACAGGAUUAGAUACCCUGGUA